CUACAAUAUAUACGAUUUUGUCAAAUGAAAUGGCAUCAUGCAACCUUUCAAUCAGCAACAAAGCCUUCCUGAAGCAUGACUCUCACUACGUUUUCUUUAUAGAUGGAACGGUAAUCACAUUGAUUUUCGAGAACAAUGGGCCACAGCAACAAAACUGUGAUGACCAUGACUUUGCUAGUGAACGUUUGUCAGACGUUCCACUUGUGGCACCCAGCCAAGCUAGUGAACAUCCUCCAGAGCCAAGCUGUGGAGCGGGCAAAAAACAAGAUUUUUAAUUAACAAAUAUAAGGAGCUUAAAGAUCUUGUCGGCAAAAAGGGUGGCUUUCGCACAAAAAAGGCCCUGUGGCAAACACUUGCCGAAAUGAUUUCUAGAGAGUUUGAAUCUCCGUGUAGCCCACUGCAAGUACAGAACAAAUAGAAAAGGCUCAAGCGGGCGUACAAACGCACCAAAUCAAAAAAUAACUCUUCAGGAAGUGGAAGGGUGUCUUGCGAAUUUGAAGAGUGAGUACAGGUUAUAUUCAGCUAUUCAUCACCAUACUACUAAUAUUUUUUUAUUUCUAGAGAACUGAGUGAUGUUCUAGAAAAAGAACGUCACAUCAUCCCGACAGUAUUGAUUACCCCAGGAAGGGUGAUUGAAAAGAACAGGGACAGCCACGAUGCAAGCAGGCCUAAUGAUCGUCCACCAGUAAGUGCGUCUCAGGAUGCAGAACCUGCCAGACCAGAAGGUGCGGCUGCUGCAUAUUCUGGCUCAGAAGAACCUGCCGAAAUUGAAGACCCAGCUGCAGCUGAAGAAGCGUUAGGCCAACCCCAUAAAAAAAGAAAAAGGGUGGAUUGCACGCCAAUUCAAUGUCUCCUUCAAGAAUUUAGAGAAAGCCGGAAAGGGAGGGAGGAGCAGCGGUCGAAGGCAAAGAUGAGCCUUCUUGAAUGCCUA